CGUAUCACAUUGGGCGGUAGGGGAGCGUUCUGUGUGUAGGAAGAAGGCAUACCGCGAGGAGUGCUGGACGAAGCAGAAGUGAGAAUGUCGGAACGAGUAGCGAUAAGACGGGUGAGAAACCCGUUCGCCGUAAACCUAAGGUUUCCUGGGGAAGGUUAAUCCGCCCAGGGUUAGUCGGUCCUAAGCCGAGGCCGAGAGGCGUAGGUGAAGGGAAGCAGGUUAAUAUUCCGCACCAUGGAUCAGUUGUUUUAUCGAUGGAGUGACGCAGGGGGUUAUGCCCGCACGGUUUGAUAGGCCGUGUCGAAGGGUGUAGGCUGAUCACACAGGGAAAUCCGUGUGGUCGUUACAAGCUGAGGCCUGACAGGCCACCGAAUCUAAGUAGGUGGAAGGAGCAGAUACCGCGCUGCCGAGAAAAGCUUCUAAGAGAGACUGAUUUGUGACCGUACCGUAAACCGACACAGGUGGGUGAGGAGAAUAUCCUAAGGCGCUCGAAAGAACCCACGUUAAGGAACUCGGCAAAUUGACUCCGUAACUUCGGGAGAAGGAGUGCUCUGGUAGGGUGACUGGACUGCGUUUAAUUAUGCAUGCGAAAGGUAGCCCGAGAGAGUCGCAGAGAAUAGGCUCAGGCGACUGUUUAUCAAAAACACAGGACUCUGCUAACGCGUAUAGCCGACGUAUAGGGUCUGACGCCUGCCCAAUGCUGGAAGGUUACGGGGAGGGGUUAGGAGUGGUAACAUUCCGAAGCUCUGAACUUAAGCCCCAGUGAAUGGCGGCCGUAACUAUAACGGUCCUAAGGUAGCGAAAUCCCUUGUCAGGUAAGUUCUGACCCGCAUGAAUGGCGUAACGGUCUGAGCACUGUCUCAACGUGGGGUUCGGCGAAACUGUGCACCGGGUGAAGACGCCCGGUAUCCGCAUCAGGACAAAAAGACCCCGUGGAGCUUUACUGUAGCUUGAUAUUGGAUUUUGGCCUGUUAUGUAGAGCAUAGGUGGGAGACUAUGAAGCUAGGGCGCCAGCCUUGGUGGAGUCAACAAUGGAAUACCACCCUUAUCAGUCUGGAAUUCUAACCUUGGCCCGUGAUCCGGGUUGGGGACAGUGUCAGGUGGGCAGUUUGACUGGGGCGGUCGCCUCCUAAAGAGUAACGGAGGCGUUCAAAGGUUCCCUCAGCGUGAUUGGAAACCACGCGCAGAGUGUAAAGGCAAAAGGGAGCUUGACUGUGAGGCAAACAAGCCGAUCAGGGACGAAAGUCGGACUUAGUGAUCCGGUGGUACCGAAUGGAAGGGCCAUCGCUCAACGGAUAAAAGCUACCCCGGGGAUAACAGGCUUAUCUCUCCCAAGAGUUCAUAUCGACGGGGAGGUUUGGCACCUCGAUGUCGGCUCAUCGCAUCCUGGGGCUGGAGUAGGUCCCAAGGGUUGGGCUGUUCGCCCAUUAA
rnacentral:rRNA from 1 species